GCAGUGGUGGUUUAGUGGUAGGAUUUUCGCCUUCCAUGAGGGAGAAAGAGGUGGGUUCAAUUCCCAGCCAAUGCA
rnacentral:tRNA from 1 species